AUUGAACGCUGGCGGCAUGCCCUACACAUGCAAGUCGAACGGCAGCACGGGGGCAACCCUGGUGGCGAGUGGCGAACGGGUGAGUAAUGCAUCGGAACGUGUCCUCUUGUGGGGGAUAACCAGUCGAAAGAUUGGCUAACACCGCAUGAGAUCGAGAGAUGAAAGCGGGGGACCCGAGGGUAACUUCGGGCCUCGCGCGAGAGGAGCGGCCGAUGCCGGAUUAGCUAGUUGGUGGGGUAAGAGCCUACCAAGGCGACGAUCCGUAGCUGGUCUGAGAGGACGACCAGCCACACUGGGACUGAGACACGGCCCAGACUCCUACGGGAGGCAGCAGUGGGGAAUUUUGGACAAUGGGCGCAAGCCUGAUCCAGCCAUGCCGCGUGUGUGAAGAA
rnacentral:rRNA from 1 species